rnacentral:rRNA from 1 species
UACGUAGGUGACAAGCGUUGUCCGGAUUUACUGGGCGUAAAGAGCGCGCAGGCGGUCGAUCAAGUCGAGUGUGAAAGCCCCCGGCUCAACUGGGGAGGGUCAUUCGAUACUGAUCGACUCGAAGGCAGGAGAGGGUAGUGGAAUUCCCGGUGUAGUGGUGAAAUGCGUAGAUAUCGGGAGGAACACCAGUGGCGAAGGCGACUACCUGGCCUGUUCUUGACGCUGAGGCGCGAAAGCUAGGGGAGCAACGGGG